rnacentral:rRNA from 1 species
GUCGAGGGAGAUUGUUGGAUUCGUCUGACAUGAAACCGGCGCACGGGUGCGUAACACGUAUGCAACCUACCUUUAACUGGGGUAUAGCUCAGAGAAAUCUGAAUUAAUCCCCCAUAAGACUACGACAUGGCAUCAUGAUGUAGUUAAAGCUCCGGCGGUUAAGGAUGGGCAUGCGGUACAUUAGCUAGUUGGUGAGGUAAUGGCUCACCAAGGCUACGAUGUAUAGGGGGUCUGAGAGGAUGAUCCCCCACACUGGUACUGAGACACGGACCAGACUCCUACGGGAGGCAGCAGUAGGGAAUAUUGGUCAAUGGACGCAAGUCUGAACCAGCCAUGCCGCGUGAAGGAUGAAGGCCCUAUGGGUCGUAAACUUCUUUUAUUAGGGAAGAAAAAAUGGGAUGCGUCCUAUACUGACGGUACUUAAUGAAUAAGGAUCGGCUAACUUCGUGCCAGCAGCCGCGGUAAGACGAAGGAUCCAAGCGUUGUCCGGAUUUACUGGGUUUAAAGGGUGCGUAGGCGGAAAAUUAAGUCAGUGGUGAAAGCCCGCAGCUCAACUGUGGAACUGCCAUUGAAACUGGUUUUCUUGAAUAUAGCUGAGGCAGGUGGAAUAUAACAUGUAGCGGUGAAAUGCUUAGAUAUGUUAUAGAACACCGAUUGCGAAGGCAGUCUGCUAAACUAUUAUUGACGCUGAGGCACGAAAGCGUGGGGAGCGAACAGGAUUAGAUACCCUGGUAGUCCACGCCCUAAACG